CCCAGAUAUCGGUGCUUCGAUGGUACCGGCUAGCAGAGCGCAGCCAGUGGCGAACAGCGCUGUCUAUCGGAAGCCGCACAGCUCUUCAGUUCAUCGACUGUCGUCGUGCGGUGCGCUAACUCGCAAAGGUGCACACCGUGUUCUCCGAGUUACUCCGUGUGGAUCGCAUCAUCCGCUUCGCGAUCACGAGCAUCGGGCACGGAGAGUACCACGACACGCGCACCAGGUGUUCCUAUCGUGUUGAUAAGGUGGUCAGUGAGUGACAGUGGCGAGAUUCCCGCGUAGAAGUGUCAUGUGAAGCAUUUCGUACGGUUCGUUUCCCUACUAUCCCCUUUUAUCUUGAAUGUACCGUGCCCUGUGGGCGAUGCAAAUUUUUUUGGGGGAUGUUCGACGAUCGUAGGGUGAUCUAACGAGGGUGGCUUUUGGUUUGUUUCUUUUUAGUCUGACGAUGAGAAAUUUUAAGGAGAGGAAUACGGAACCCCAGGUUGAUAAAAAAUGAGAUUUCUGGUACUCUUUUCUGUUAAAAUUUAAUCGAUGUUCAAUCGUAAGCUGCUAGAAAAAUUGGAGUCUCGAGAUUUAUGCUCGUUGAUUUCUUUAAUAAAAGUAAUAAUAACAAGAAUAAUAAUUAAAUCUGAACUUGACAAAUUCUAAAUUGAGUAUUUCUUCGAUCUGAAAGUCGAUAGAGACUUUUCAUUUUGGGAAAUAACUAAAGCCGUUUUCUUUUACAUGAAUAUGAUUAUGUUACUAUUUUUGUUGGACACCGUCUGCUACGCUUUCCGCAUACUUUAGCAGAGUAAUUUCUCUUGAGCAAACUAUAUCAGAUUGCAUAAUGACUGCUAAGCAUGGAGACCUUUGUUCAUAGUUAGAUCAUUGGGUGCCGGAUUCUGGUUAUACCUGCCCGAUGGAAAUCGGAGCGGAAAGAGUGUCAAAGAAAUUACCUAAGUAGCCAGAAAAUUCUAUGUAUGAGUUACUCUAAUUGCGAGAAUUAAGAAAUAAAGAAAUACUAGGAUUGCUUCGAUCUAUAAAGACAAAGAUAACUGUCUCUGUUAACAGUGACAUCCUAUUAUGGUAUGUCAUCGUCUUCAUCUCACUUUGAUUGAUUUAUGCCAUUUGUCAAUUAAAAUUAUUGUUUGCAGAAUUCGUAAGUAGUAAGAAAAUAUGCAAUUAAAUGGUUGUAAAAUUCUAGUCUAUUCUUAGUUGCAGGAAAUUAAACUGGAUUCAUUUAUUGUAUAUUUCCGUGUUUAUUCGUUAGGAAGAAUAGUAAAUUCUUCCUUAUCUACUGUGAUUGCUUGAUAAAAAUCCGUGUUUAUCUGUGUGGCUGAAAUGGGAAGUUUUUUCUAAUUUAUUCUGGAUUUCAGAUUUAAUUAAAAUGCAAAGAUAAUUUUAACACGUGAGAAUAUG